rnacentral:rRNA from 1 species
CACGCCCUAAACGAUGUCAACUGGUUGUUGGGAAUUCACUUUCUCAGUAACGAAGCUAACGCGUGAAGUUGACCGCCUGGGGAGUACGGCCGCAAGGUUAAAACUCAAAGGAAUUGACGGGGACCCGCACAAGCGGUGGAUGAUGUGGUUUAAUUCGAUGCAACGCGAAAAACCUUACCCACCUUUGACAUGUACGGAAGGUCGCAGAGACGCGAUUGUGCUCGAAAGAGAACCGUAACACAGGUGC